rnacentral:lncRNA from 1 species
AGAGCAGUCUCUCUGAGAGAGGUUUAAAAACGACGGGGACUCACUCAACCUUUAAACUUGUAAUCAUCACUUCUAUAAUAUUGCUAACCAUAUCAUAGGGAUCCUAACUUCAGAAGCACAUCAUACAUUAUCCUAGAAUAGCAACCAAAUACAUCUAGCCUGCAACUCAACAGAUCUUAUAUGACUUUCUCCUCUACUAACCUCAUUUCUUGCAUAAAUAAAAAGUGUAUGCUAAAUAUUG